GUCGGUGGCCGGCUGCGGCUCGUGCCUGGAGGGCAGCGCCCAGCAGAUGUACCAGAGCCUGGCCGAGCUGGGUACCCUGCCCCCCGAGACGAAGGUGUUCUGCGGCCACGAGCACACGCUCAGCAACCUGGAGUUUGCGCAGAAAGUGGAGCCCUGCAACGACCACGUGAGAGCCAAGCUGUCCUGGGCUAAGUAAGGUGGCCCAGACAUGACCUGAAACUCAGCCAUCCUGCAGCCAGGCCGGACCCCGAGGGACAGUGAGCCUCACUCCAUUUCCCAGCAAGCCUCCUGCCGGCUCUGCGGAUGUGUCCCUGGACAGGACGGGCCCUGGCUGUGACAGAAAAUGACACUGACCCGUUCCCAGCGUGCCUGCACUCCCUAACAGCCACGUCCAAUGGAGGAGAAGUGGCCUUCCCACGGCUCAGGCCCUCUCACUGCACACCAGCCGGGGAAAGGGAUGUCACAGGGGAACCAACCAGCCCCAGCCCCGGGUGAAAAUCCGCGUCCAGUCAGGCAGGAGGUGCCGCAGGGGACAUGGGCGCUCGAGGCCCAGGCACCACCAGGGCCGCCCU
rnacentral:sRNA from 1 species